UGGACAGAUUAUUGUAUUCGACCGUAUUCACGGCGUGAAACAUGGAAUUACUCUGUUUUUAAACGGAAAGUGAAUCAAUUAACAUAAUAGAUUCCU
rnacentral:pre_miRNA from 1 species